rnacentral:rRNA from 1 species
UACAGAGGGUGCAAGCGUUGUUCGGAAUUACUGGGCGUAAAGGGCGCGUAGGCGGCCUGUUAAGUCGGACGUGAAAUCCCCGGGCUCAACCCGGGAACUGCGUCCGAUACUGGCAGGCUUGAAUUCGGGAGAGGGAUGCGGAAUUCCAGGUGUAGCGGUGAAAUGCGUAGAUAUCUGGAGGAACACCGGUGGCGAAGGCGGCAUCCUGGACCGAGAUUGACGCUGAUGCGCGAAAGCCAGGGGAGCAAACGGG